CGCGGGGUGGAGCAGCCUGGUAGAUCGUCGGGCUCAUAACCCGAAGGUCGUCGGUUCAAAUCCGGCCCCCGCAACCA
rnacentral:tRNA from 1 species